rnacentral:rRNA from 1 species
AGAGUUUGAUCCUGGCUCAGGACGAACGCUGGCGGCACGCUUAACACAUGCAAGUCGAACGAGAGAAGAGGAGCUUGCUUUUCUGAUCUAGUGGCGGACGGGUGAGUAACACGUGAGCAAUCUGCCUUUCAGAGGGGGAUACCGAUUGGAAACGAUCGUUAAUACCGCAUAACAUAAUUGAACCGCAUGAUUUGAUUAUCAAAGAUUUAUCGCUGAAAGAUGAGCCCGCGUCUGAUUAGCUAGUUGGUAAGGUAACGGCUUACCAAGGCGACGAUCAGUAGCCGGACUGAGAGGUUGAUCGGCCACAUUGGGACUGAGACACGGCCCAGACUCCUACGGGAGGCAGCAGUGGGGAAUAUUGCACAAUGGAGGAAACUCUGAUGCAGCGAUGCCGCGUGAGGGAAGAAGGUUUUAGGAUUGUAAACCUCUGUCUUCAGGGACGAAAAAAGACGGUACCUGAGGAGGAAGCUCCGGCUAACUACGUGCCAGCAGCCGCGGUAAUACGUAGGGAGCGAGCGUUGUCCGGAAUUACUGGGUGUAAAGGGAGCGUAGGCGGGAUCGCAAGUCAGAUGUGAAAACUAUGGGCUUAACCCAUAAACUGCAUUUGAAACUGUGGUUCUUGAGUGAAGUAGAGGUAAGCGGAAUUCCUAGUGUAGCGGUGAAAUGCGUAGAUAUUAGGAGGAACAUCAGUGGCGAAGGCGGCUUACUGGGCUUUAACUGACGCUGAGGCUCGAAAGCGUGGGGAGCAAACAGGAUUAGAUACCCUGGUAGUCCACGCCGUAAACGAUGAUUACUAGGUGUGGGGGGACUGACCCCUUCCGUGCCGCAGCAAACGCAAUAAGUAAUCCACCUGGGGAGUACGACCGCAAGGUUGAAACUCAAAGGAAUUGACGGGGGCCCGCACAAGCAGUGGAGUAUGUGGAUUAAUUCGAAGCAACGCGAAGAACCUUACCAGGUCUUGACAUCGUAUGCAUAGCUCAGAGAUGAGUGAAAUCUCCUCGGAGACAUAUAGACAGGUGGUGCAUGGUUGUCGUCAGCUCGUGUCGUGAGAUGUUGGGUUAAGUCCCGCAACGAGCGCAACCCUUACUGUUAGUUGCUAUGCAAGAGCACUCUAGCAGGACUGCCGUUGACAAAACGGAGGAAGGUGGGGAUGACGUCAAAUCAUCAUGCCCCUUAUGACCUGGGCCUCACACGUACUACAAUGGCUGUCAACAGAGGGAAGCAAAGCCGCGAGGUGGAGCGAACCCCUAAAAGCAGUCUUAGUUCGGAUUGUAGGCUGCAACCCGCCUACAUGAAGUCGGAAUUGCUAGUAAUCGCAGAUCAGCAUGCUGCGGUGAAUACGUUCCCGGGCCUUGUACACACCGCCCGUCACGCCAUGGGAGUCGGUAACACCCGAAGCCUGUAGUCUAACCGCAAGGAGGACGCAGUCGAAGGUGGGAUUGAUGACUGGGGUGAAGUCGUAACAAGGUA